AUGUGGAGCGCUUAGAAGUGAGAAUGCCGGUGUGAGUAGCGAAAGACGGGUGAGAAUCCCGUCCACCGAUUGACUAAGGUUUCCAGAGGAAGGCUCGUCCGCUCUGGGUUAGUCGGGUCCUAAGCUGAGGCCGACAGGCGUAGGCGAUGGAUAACAGGUUGAUAUUCCUGUACCACCAUUAUUCGUUUUAAGCGAUGGGGGGACGCAGUAGGAUAGGCGAAGCGUGCUGUUGGAGUGCACGUCCAAGCAGUGAGAUUGAGUGUUAGGCAAAUCCGGCACUCUUAAGAUUGAGCUGUGAUGGGGAGAGGAACUUGUUCCUCGAGUCGUUGAUUUCACACUGC
rnacentral:rRNA from 1 species